UUUCGCAAUGCCCGAAAGGGUGACGAAGCGACGCCGCGUGCGGGAAGAAGGCCUUCGGGUUGUAAACCGCUGUCGGGAGUUAAGAAAUGCAAGGGUGUUAACAGCAUCCUUGCUUGACUAAGGCUCCGGAGGAAGCCACGGCUAACUCUGUGCCAGCAGCCGCGGUAAUACAGAGGUGGCAAGCGUUGUUCGGAAUUAUUGGGCGUAAAGAGCACGUAGGCGGCUGUGUAAGUCGGUUGUGAAAGCCUUCCGCUCAACGGGAGAACGGCAUCCGAUACUGCAUGGCUUGAGUGCGGGAGGGGAGAGUGGAACUUCUGGUGGAGCGGUGAAAUGCGUAGAUAUCAGAAGGAACACCGGCGGCGAAGGCGACUCUCUGGCCCGUAACUGACGCUGAGUGCGCGAAAGCUAGGGGAGCAAACGGGAUUAGAUACCCCGGUAGUCCUAGCCGUAAACGAUGGGCACUAAGUAGAGGGGUUUUA
rnacentral:rRNA from 1 species